rnacentral:lncRNA from 1 species
CCGAGAGUCCCUACAUCACCCAUGCCUCACUGUGGAUCUGCUCAUUGUUGGACAGACCUCAUGCAGGCAUCCAUAGCUGCUGUCAGUUGUGAUUACAACAGCUGUGUCUGGACACACAUACACACAAAUCCUAAGCCUUAGAGGGCAGUAUACCAGACUCCCUAUUACAGUGCUUCAGUAAACUCUAUUUUCUCCUACACCAGAAGGGCCUUUCUUCCCCUUGAGGUCUAGAAAGGGUUAAAGUAAGGUGGAUGCUCAGGCCCACGUGCUGUGUCAGCUGAGAGACACUCCCAUGCCACCUGCCUUGCUAUUACAAUAUUAGACCACUAAAGUUCCAUUCUAGUGAUCUUUUCUUACCUUCAUCUAGUUGUGCAGCUGACCUGGUAACAGGAUGAAAGAAGCAGCAAGCAGCAGUGACACCCCAGGAAUUAGCCCGCCGCCACCAGCUGCUUGACAGCUGAAGCAGUAGCACCUGCAAUGUUAGGAGUGGCCAGCGGGGUGGAGUGGGGGUAGUGAGAGAGAAAGGUUGAGAAUGAAGAAGGAAAGGUUGUCAAUAGCCACAGGAAGUGCCAGCUCUGGUCACCAGAAGAGUUCCACAGCAUUAUCAAGCCUUCAGGGCCAACAGGUGAAACACUGGGUGCUGUGAAAGGCUGAGGGGACACCACGCCCUCAGCCCACGUAGAGCUGUAGAACUCAAGUGGUCUAAAGGUUCCUAAAAUCUGAGGCCUACAAGGAGCCUGAGCCUGGAAGGUGCCACCCACUGUGCCUCCCACCCCCUGCUGCCCAGGCUUCUCCUCAGCUACUUAAAAUUCCCAUACAGUGCAGUGCAGAAGGACCCUCUAGCCAGCUAGUCAAAGGUGGUAUAGGUGAUCCUCCAGCAACAAUCCUGUAUGUCAAAGCUGGGCUUCUUCAUACUCUACUAACCAAAACUAGCGUCAAAUGCAAGGAGACAAACCCAGAAGAUAAAGGAGCUUUCAUAUCAACCAGAUUGUCUACCAUUGAGAUCCUAACAGAUACAAGAUGAUCCGCAAGAUGAUCCGCUGGUCUCUGCUUAUGUCUUGCAGAUGUUCACUGGAAUCUUACUGAACGCCUUAGACCAGAGGUUCUCAACAUGUGGGUCAUGAUCCACUCCAGGGUCACCUAAGCCACUGGAAAACAUGAGUCACAAGAAUACCAAAAUUACAGUUAUGAAGUAGCAACAAAAGUAAUUUUAUGGUUUGGGGGUCACCACAACACGAGGAGCUGCAUUAAAGGGCAGCAGCAUUGGGAAGGCUGAGAACCAUUGCCUUAGACUAAGACUGACACUUGCCUGGCUGAAUCUUUACAAGGGCCAGAAAGGUUUUGUUGGGUAGCAAUCUCCUCUGAGAUAAAACCUUCCAACUUUGAGGGAAGCUCCUUAAGACACCGGGGGAGCAUUCUGUCCUUCAGGGAAGCGACUUUAACUCAGAAAACAGUAACAACAGUAACUGCAGGAAGUCCCUGAAAUCCACCAGAUUCACCAGGCUCCUCUCCCCCCUGAGGACCUCUAAGAAAUAAGUUCUAUAGAGAAAAGUUCUCAGGCCAGUGGAGCUGCUUGGAAGACAUGUCUCCACCGCUGCCUGCAAGGUGGCGCUCCAGUGGCUUCUCGUCACGUUCCUGGAGUCGGGCCAAUUGACAGAGCAUCAUGGAUUGGUCCAGACUGAGCUGCUAUUGCUGAUUCGAGAUUGGUGUUUGAGAGUGGAUAGAGUGACCACUGCUGAUUUGUGUGACAUGAACUGCUGAUAUCCUCCUUUGUUUAAAAAAAUUAUUUUCUGUAGAUGAGUACACUGUAGCUGUACAGAUGCUUAUGAGCCUUCAUGUGGUGGUUGGGAAUUGAAUGUUAGUUGACCUCGCUCCGGUCAACUCUGCUCACUCAGGCCCAAAGAUGUAUUUAUUAUUAUAUAUAAGUACACUGUAGCUGUCUUCAGACGCACAAAAAGAGGGCAUCAGAUCUCAUUACAGAUUGUUGCUGGGAUUUGAACUCAGGACGUUUGAAAGAGCAUUCAGUGCUCUUACCCACUGAGCCAUCUCGCCAGCCCUGCUGAUAUAUUCCUGACAACACAGAUUGGAUUCAUCCCCAAAGAACGACUUCUAAGUAGGUCCACAUCCCCUUGUCCUAUUUCC